UACGUAGGGUGCGAGCGUUGUCCGGAAUUACUGGGCGUAAAGAGCUCGUAGGUGGUUUGUCGCGUUGUUCGUGAAAACUCACAGCUCAACUGUGGGCGUGCGGGCGAUACGGGCAGACUGGAGUACUGCAGGGGAGACUGGAAUUCCUGGUGUAGCGGUGGAAUGCGCGGAUAUCAGGAGGAACACCGGUGGCGAAGGCGGGUCUCUGGGCAGUAACUGACGCUGAGGAGCGAAAGCGUGGGGAGCGAACAGG
rnacentral:rRNA from 1 species